rnacentral:misc_RNA from 1 species
AACGCACAUUGCGCCCCCUGGUAUUCCGGGGGGCACACCUGUUCGAGCGCCAUUUUCACCAUCGAGUCCUGCUCGGAGAUGGGCCUCGUCCUCGCGGACGGGCCCGAAACCCGUGGGCGCCAUUGUCCGGCCCUGAGCGUAGCAAGAGAAAUCCCUCGCUCGGUGGACCGUCCAGUGGCCGCCCCGACCAUUUUUACAAGGUUGGCCUCGGAUCAGGUGGGGAUACCCGCUGAACUUAA